AACGCGAAGAACCUUACCAGGCCUUGACAUGGGGAGUAUGGACAGCAGAAAAGUUGUCCUUCAGUUUGGCUGGCUCCCACACAGGUGCUGCAUGGCUGUCGUCAGCUCGUGUCGUGAGAUGUUGGGUUAAGUCCCGCAACGAGCGCAACCCUCAUCCUUAGUUGCCAACACGUAAUGGUGGGAACUCUAAGGAAACUGCCGGUGAUAAGCCGGAGGAAGGUGGGGAUGACGUCAAGUCUUCAUGGCCCUUACGGCCUGGGCUACACACGUGCUACAAUGGCGGUGACAAUGGGCAGCCAACCCGCAAGGGUGCGCUAAUCUCAAAAAGCCGUCUCAGUUCGGAUUGCACUCUGCAACUCGAGUGCAUGAAGCUGGAAUCGCUAGUAAUCGUAGAUCAGCAUGCUACGGUGAAUACGUUCCCGGGCCUUGUACACACCGAUAGC
rnacentral:rRNA from 1 species